GUGAGGUUAAUGGUCAGGUCUGGGUUGGGUGUGAGGUUAAUGGUCAGGUCUGGGUUGGGUGUGAGGUUAAUGGUCAGGUCUGGGUUGGGUGUGAGGUUAAUGGUCAGGUCUGGGUUGGGUGUGAGGUUAAUGGUCAGGUCUGGGUUAAGUAUGAGGUUAAUGGUCAGGUCUGGGUUAGGUAUGAGGUUAAUGGUCAGGUAUGAGGUUAAUGGUCAGGUCUGGGUUAGGUAUGAGGUUAAUGGCCAGGCCUGGGUUAGGUAUGAGGUUAAUGGUCAGGCCUGGGUUAGGUAUGAGGUUAAUGGUCAGGUCUUGGUUAGGUAUGAGGUUAAUGGUCAGGUAUGAGGUUAAUGGUCAGGUCUGGGUUAGGUAUGAGGUUAAUGGUCAGGUAUGAGGUUAGGUAUGAGGUUAAUGGUCUGGGUUAGGUAUGAGGUUCCUGGUCAGGUCUGGGUUAGGUAUGAGGUUAAU
ensembl:lncRNA